AGGCCGUCGGCUAACCCCGGUCCUGCUUCUUAAUAGCUCCGAAGCCUGCAUCUGCUCGCAGCCCAAAGUUCCGGGGACGGAAGGUGUUCCCGAUUUUGCCACUAGGGCUCCCAAUUGUCACAGUGUUUAAAGCAAGCACCCAUUGUCCCCCAAGACCCCAGACGAGUGCCUUAAAAACAGAAAGAUGCUUCUGAAAGACAGGAUAUGCCCGGUCAGGAACCCCUACCUCUGCUUUCCUGCCCGGCCCGCUGACUUCAUCCUGUCCGUGAGGUCUGUCGUCCUUCUGGGACGGCGCGGGGAGGAGCGCACCAAGACCGGGCGGCAGGAAGCCGAGGGCCCUCCAAGACGCCCCGGGGGUCAGCAUCUCAUCCUACCAGGACCAAGGCUCCAGGUCCGCCAUUGUGGAAGGAGGAAGGAGGAGAAACGUGUGCACACUUCCUCUGUCUAUUUUCUGCGUGACCUGGUUUAUUUGGUUGUGAUUUAUGGACAGCUGAACAUUACGCUGCUGACACAAAGGCCAUUGUGAGCAGUUUAUUUGACAAGGAAUGAGUUGAGGCGGGCGCGCCAAUAGAAAGUGGGCCUACUCACCUCUGCCUUUAGUUUCUGUUGAUUUGCAUCAGUUGAGGUUUUGGGGUUUGGCCUUUUCACAGUCUCCAUUGUAUAGAUGGAUCACCUCCUAAAAAAAUAGAACUUACCCCAAACUUCAAACACCUUAUGUAUAUUAUUUAUUCUGUGAAUUUUUGAACAUUCUUCUGUGAACAUUUGGUACAUUCCAACAUCUUUCAAACAUAAUACACCUCUUUUCCCUGGAAGAUCUUGUAUAUGUUUUAAAAAAUAUUUAUGUAAUCUAUAUUCUUAUAUCGUGGUCCUCAAAUUGGGAGGUACUUGCUUUUUUAUUUUAAUUUUCUAUGAAUAGAUGUAUUGUUAUUCUUAGCUAAUUCAUUGUAUUUGAAUCCUAUUUGACAAUAAACCAAAUUCUCACA